CAGAUAAGGUAUCACUAAGCUUAACGGAUAUCACAUGCUCUAUUUCUUCAAAGGACACUAAACAUUCAAAUCAUAAACGAGAUCAUAACCAUGUCUGAUUUCAAAUUAAAUCGCUACUCUUAAAUUUCUUAUUUCAAAUUAACACAUGGUAACACAAACUAUGAAAUUUUAACUAAUUCAAGCUAACACUGAUAGAUAUCAAACUCCUAUGAUCAUGAGAAGAAAUUAAAUUCGUUUAACAGUCCCCAACAGUCCAAAACAAUCCAAUUUUAUGAUAGCUUGAAAAUCUAUUAUAAAACUACAUGGAAUAAAAUAUGAGAAUACAUGGAGAGUCAAUUAACACUUCAUUUCACGUCCAUAAACUGGGAUUUACAUGAUGUGUACCUGGAAGUUGAGAGAUAAUAAGAAGAAAGAGAAGUCAGCAACAACAAUGAACAAGUAGCAGGAAUCAAAUAACUGAGAAUCUAGCAGGAACAGGAGUAAUUGAGAACCAACACAGCAUGAAAACCCCAGAAAUGAGCCCAGUAGUUAACACUUCCAAUGAACAACCAGAAUAACAAGCUCGAACAUAUUAGAUUUCAAUUUAAAAUUGACUUAAAAGCUUCUAAAAUCUCAAUUAUUGACUACAAAAGGAAUUUCAAACCAUUUUGGAUUCUAAAUAAGCUAGAGAUUUGAAUUAAGUGCUGGAAUUAGAAAUUGAUCCAAGAAAUUUCAAGGUAACGGUAUUUUUUUUGGUUUUUUGUUGCUUUUGUUUUUGUUUUUUUUUCGGUUUUUGAUAGACUAGAUAUAGAAUUUUGAUUUGAAAUUCAAAUCUUCAGCUUGCGAAGACUUGAGGAUAUCUGGGGGAAUUUUUUCAGAGAUUGGAACUUGUGAAACAAGGAAGUAGUGACCGCCUUUUAUAGGCAAAGCUAAGGGAAAGUUUCAAAUUAUCAUUUACAUCCCUACUCCAUCUUUUAAUUUUUCAGUUUUACUUAUUUAGUCCAUUAUUUUCUGACUUCUUUCUCAAGUUACACCACUAAGACUACAUGAAAUUCUAAUUGCACCCUCCUCUAGAAGGUUCUUCGGAAUUCUUGCAUUGUAACAUAUAUGAGAAUACCUAUACGACCCUUACCUUCAUUCUGAAGUUACCAGAUUAAUCUAACCCCAACCCCUUUUACCAUAUUUGCAUGUCAAGAAUUAACAAUGGCUAAAUAAAAUUCUAACCCGUUCAGUUAUAACCAAACGAUCCUAAAGUUAAACUAACUAGACAAUCUAGCUAAUCAUCAAAGUAAAUCUAACAAUAAACUACAAUUAAUCAACUAAAUUCAAAUUGCAGUCAACACUUAUAGAUCGACUUAUUGAACUCAGAAACAAGAUCGAGCCAAACAAAAGGAAUAGAAUUACAAAUGAAUAUUAGAACGUAAUUAGUUAACCUGAAGAACAAUUAAUCUAACAAGGAGAAAUCUUACUAACUUAAAACGGAUAACCAACAAUCUAAACUAAACCCAAAAUAAAAACAAAUUCCUAUUCUAAUGAUGACAUUAAGAACAAAUUCAUGUUAAAAAUUAACUGAAGUAAAGACAAAAUGAAAUAAAUAAAGAAGAACAAACUUGAUUACUGAACCCCAAAUAGAACAAAAUCACUUAACGAAUAAAACGUAGUCAUGAAAAGAAAAUAAUGCAAAUAAAACAACAGAAAAAAUAAGAAACUCACUGGUUUUGAACACUUGAAAACCAACAUGAACUGGAGUUCUUAAAACCCUAAAUUUAAGAUUCAAAGAAUUUUGCCCGAAUUUGAAGGAUUCCAGCCUGAAAUUCAGAAUGAUGAGGUUGAGGAAAGCUUGGGGUCUGAUUUUUGGGCUGUUUGGAAGAAUUAAUGUUUUUGGUUAGAACUUCAAUUCGAUAUUCGAGAAGCUCGGCUUGGAUUUGAAGGAAAAUAAUCCGGUAUAUGGAAAAAGGGCCUUGGGGAGAAAAUAUGGUGUAACUUUGGGGAAGUUUGUACGACUUUGUAUAAUAGCCGGAAUUUCGAUUUGGUAUUCAAAGAUGUCGGUGGGGAUUUGAAGGAAACUAUUGGUGGAUAUGAAAAGAGGAGGUAGAGAAGGUUCGGGGGUGUUAAUUUGGACGAGGUUGGAACUUUUCCCCCGCCGUGGGCGAUUUUCGACAACGGUUCGUAACGGAGCCAGUGGUCUAUGAGAAACGUUUAUUGUGAAUGCGAAAGAGGGACUUGGGG
rnacentral:lncRNA from 1 species